rfam:Listeria bacteriophage P100, complete genome.
CAGGGUGUAGCUCAGUUUGGUUAGAGUACCCGCUUUGGAGACGGGAAGUCGUAGGUUCGAAUCCUACCACCUUGA